AGUGAACGCUGGCGGCAGGCCUAAUACAUGCAAGUCGAACGGCAGCACAGCAGAGCUUGCUCUGUGGGUGGCGAGUGGCGGACGGGUGAGGAAUACGUGGGAAUCUGCCCAGUCGUGGGGGGAUAACGUAGGGAAACUUACGCUAAUACCGCAUGCGCCCUUCGGGGAAAGGCCGGGGACCGUUCGGGCCUGGCGCGAUUGGAUGAGCCCACGUCGGAUUAGCUAGUUGGCGGGGUAAAGGCCCACCAAGGCGACGAUCCGUAGCUGGUCUGAGAGGAUGAUCAGCCACACUGGAACUGAGACACGGUCCAGACUCCUACGGGAGGCAGCAGUAGGGAAUAUUGGACAAUGGGCGCAAGCCUGAUCCAGCCAUGCCGCGUGAGUGAAGAAGGCCC
rnacentral:rRNA from 1 species